GGAUUCCCCUAGUAACUGCGAGUGAAGCGGGAAAAGCUCAAAUUUAAAAUCUGGCGGUCUUUGGCUGUCCGAGUUGUAGUCUGGAGAAGUGCUUUCCGUGCUGGACCGUGUAUAAGUCUCUUGGAACAGAGCGUCAUAGAGGGUGAGAAUCCCGUCUUUGACACGGACUACCAGUGCUUUGUGAUGCGCUCUCAAAGAGUCGAGUUGUUUGGGAAUGCAGCUCAAAAUGGGUGGUAAAUUCCAUCUAAAGCUAAAUAUUGGCGAGAGACCGAUAGCGAACAAGUACCGUGAGGGAAAGAUGAAAAGCACUUUGGAAAGAGAGUUAAACAGUACGUGAAAUUGCUGAAAGGGAAACGCUUGAAGUCAGUCGCAUCGUUUGGAACUCAGCCUUGCUUUUGCUUGGUGCACUUUCUGAAUGAUGGGCCAGCAUCAAUUUUGACCGUUGGAAAAGGGCUGGGGGAAUGUGGCACCUUUGGGUGUGUUAUAGCCUCUGGUCGCAUACAACGGUUGGGAUUGAGGACCGCAGCGCGCCGCAAGGCAGGGGUUCGCCCACUUUCGUGCUUAGGAUGCUGGCAUAAUGGCUUUAAACGACCCGUCUUGAAACACGGACCAAGGAGUCUAACAUACCUGCGAGUGUUUGGGUGGUAAACCCGAGCGCGCAAUGAAAGUGAAAG
rnacentral:rRNA from 1 species